rnacentral:rRNA from 1 species
AGGGCGUACGGUGGAUGCCUUGGCACCAGGAGUAGAUGAAGGACGUGGACGGCUGCGAUAAGCCGCGGUGAGGUGCUGAACAACCUUUGACCCGCGGAUUUCCGAAUGGGGAAACCCGGCGCUGGUAAUGCGGCGUCAUCUGUCGGUGAAUACAUAGCCGGCAGAAUGCAAGCGAGCGAACUGAAACAUCUAAGUAGCUCGAGGAAAGAAAAUCAAACGAGACUCCCUGAGUAGUGGCGAGCGAAAAGGGAUCAGCCCAAACCGACCCGUUGUAAGAGCACAUUCGUUGCCGGGUCGGGGUUGUAGGAAGUCUGUCCAGAGCAUGUGCGCUCUGGCAGCAGUUACCAAGUCAGGUGUUAGUCGAAGCGAGUGGAACCUCGCACCACAGAGGGCAAACGUCCCGUAGACGAAAACGCACUGACCUGCUGAUGACUUUCCUGAGUAGGACCACACCCGUGAAACGUGGUCUGAAUCUGGGGGGACCACCCUCCAAGGCUAAGUACUCCCUGGUGACCGAUAGUGAACUAGUACCGUGAGGGAAAGGUGAAAAGUACCCCGGAAGGGGAGUGAAAUAGUACCUGAAACCAUACGCCUACAAGCGGUCGGAGCAUCUUCGGAUGUGACGGCGUGCUUUUUGCAUAACGAGCCUGCGAGUUACUCUUCAGUGGCAAGGUUAAGCGAUGAGCGGAGCCGCAGCGAAAGCGAGUCUGAAUAGGGCGACAUAGUCAUUGGAGGUAGACCCGAAACUGAGCGAGCUAUCCAUGGGCAGGUUGAAGCGUGGGUAAGACCACGUGGAGGACCGAACCGACCUAGGGUGAAAACUGGGCGGAUGACCUGUGGAUCGGAGUGAAAGGCUAAUCAAGCUCAGAGAUAUCUGGUUCUCUCCGAAAUAUAUUUAGGUAUAGCGUCGAGUGUUAUAUGUUGUGGCCGUAGAGCACUGCUUGGACUAGGGGCCCCACCAGGUUACCGACUUCAGGCAAACUCCGAAGACCAUUACAUUUAGCUCGGCAGUCAGCGCAUGGGGGAUAAACUUCAUGUGCGAGAGGGGAACAACCCAGACCGUCGGUUAAGGUCCCUAAGUACUAGCUAAGUGGUAAACGAUGUCCGAAUGCAUAGACAACCAAGAGGUUGGCUUAGAAGCAGCCACCCUUGAAAGAGUGCGUAACAGCUCACUGGUCAAGUGUUCGGGCGCGGAUAAUGUAACGGGGCUAAAGCUAGUCACCGAAACUACGGGUUCAUGACCCUGCGGGGUUCAUGAGCGGUAGGAGAGCGUUCUCAGUGUGUAAGCGUUGGCGUAAGCCUUCGUGCGGUGCUGAGAAGUGAGAAUGCAGGCAUGAGUAACGAAAGAGGGGUGAGAAUCCCCUCCACUGAUUGUCCGAGGUUUCCUGAGUAAAGUUCGUCUGCUCAGGGUUAGUCGGGACCUAAGGCGAGGCCGAAAGGCGUAGUCGAUGGCGAACAGGUUGAUAUUCCUGUACCACGUUGGAUCCGUUAUGACCGAUGGGGGGACGGGGAAGGGUAAGAGAACCCAGGCGAUGGUUGUCCUGGGGCAAGUACGUAGCCAGUCGCUGUAGGAAAAUCCGCAGCGGCGUUUUUACGCGAGGUGCGAUGCCAGCUGGAUUAAGUUCCGGCCAGUCUCUGAGCCCAUGCCUCCAAGAAAAGCCUCUAGGCAGGAUCCAUGUGCCCGUACCGAUAACCGACACAGGUGGACAAGUAGAAGAUACUAAGGUGAGCGAGAUAACCAUCGUUAAGGAACUCGGCAAAAUCGCCCCGUAACUUCGGGAUAAGGGGCGCCUCGAUAGGGUGAAGUCCAUACGGAUGGAGCUCGAGGAGGCCGCAGUGAAUUGGUCCAACCGACUGUUUACCAAAAACACAGGGCUCUGCUAAGUCGCAAGACGACGUAUAGGGCCUGACGCCUGCCCGGUGCUGGAAGGUUACGCGGACUUGUUAGCUCUUCGGAGCGAAGCAAUGAAGCUAAGCCCCAGUAAACGGCGGCCGUAACUAUAACGGUCCUAAGGUAGCGAAAUUCCUUGUCGGGUAAGUUCCGACCUGCACGAAUGGCGUAACGAGUUGGACGCUGUCUCAACGAUGGACUCGGUGAAAUUGGAGUCUCGGUGAAGAUACCGAGUACCCGCAUCAAGACGGAAAGACCCCGUGAACCUUUACUACAACUUGAUAUUGGAGUUUGGUGUGUUCUGUUCAGGAUAGGUGGGAGACAGUGAACCAGCGGCUGCGGCUGCUGGGGAGUCAACCUUGAGAUACCACCCUUGACAUACCGGGCUUCUAACACUAUUCCGUGAUCCGGGUAGUGAACAGUGUCAGGCGGGUAGUUUGACUGGGGCGGUCGCCUCCUAAAAUGUAACGGAGGCGCCCAAAGGUUCCCUCAGUACGGUUGGAAAUCGUGCGUAGAGUGUAAAGGCAACAAGGGAGCUUGACUGCGAGACCGACGGGUCGAGCAGGAACGAAAGUUGGGCUUAGUGAUCCGGCGGUUGCAAGUGGAAGCGCCGUCGCUCAACGGAUAAAAGGUACUCCGGGGAUAACAGGCUUAUCGCUUCCAAGAGUCCAUAUCGACGAAGCGGUUUGGCACCUCGAUGUCGGCUCGUCGCAUCCUGGGGCGGGAGUACGUCCCAAGGGUUGGGCUGUUCGCCCAUUAAAGCGGCACGCGAGCUGGGUUCAGAACGUCGUGAGACAGUUCGGUCCCUAU